rnacentral:snRNA from 1 species
AAAAGGGGCGGUUGGCUAAAUAUGACACGCUCACCAUUGAAUGGUGAGUGCUGUAUGGCUAUCAAGACAUAUGGCCUACAUAAUUUCUGGGUACUUAUAGGUUUGGCUCCCUUUGGCCGACCCUCCA